UACAGAGGGUGCGAGCGUUAAUCGGAAUUACUGGGCGUAAAGCGCGCGUAGGUGGCUAUGCAAGUCGAUUGUGAAAUCCCCGGGCUCAACCUGGGAACUGCAUUCGAGACUGCAUUGCUUGAGUAUGGGAGAGGGAAGUGGAAUUUCCGGUGUAGCGGUGAAAUGCGUAGAUAUCGGAAGGAACAUCAGUGGCGAAAGCGGCUUCCUGGACCAGAACUGACGAUCAGGCUCGAAAGCGUGGGGAGCAAACAGG
rnacentral:rRNA from 1 species